GCCUACGGGCGCAGCAGUGAGGAAUAUUGGUCAAUGGGCGGUAGCCUGAACCAGCCAAGUAGCGUGAGGGAAUAAGGCCCUACGGGUCGUAAACCUCUUUUGCCGGGGAGCAAGGGCCGGGACGAGUCCCGGUCCGGAGAGUACCCGGAGAAAAAGCAUCGGCUAACUCCGUGCCAGCAGCCACGGUAAUACGGAGGAUGCGAGCGUUAUCCGGAUUUAUUGGGUUUAAAGGGUGCGUAGGCGGGCUUUUAAGUCAGCGGUAAAAAUUCGGGGCUCAACCCCGUCCGGCCGUUGAAACUGGGGGC
rnacentral:rRNA from 1 species